GCCACUGUGGCGCAACGGUAGCGCAUCGGUUUUGUAAACCGCGGGUUGCAGGUUCGAAUCCUGUCAGUGGCUCCA
rnacentral:tRNA from 3 species